rnacentral:rRNA from 1 species
GAUGAACGCUAGCGACAGGCUUAACACAUGCAAGUCGAGGGGCAGCACGAUUGAAGCUUGCUUUAAUUGGUGGCGACCGGCGCACGGGUGAGUAACGCGUAUGCAACCUACCCAUCAGAGUGGGAUAACCCGGCGAAAGUCGGACUAAUACCGCAUAAAACAGGGAUCCCGCAUGGGAAUAUUUGUUAAAGGAUUAAUUGCUGAUGGAUGGGCAUGCGUUCCAUUAGAUAGUUGGUGAGGUAACGGCUCACCAAGUCUGCGAUGGAUAGGGGUUCUGAGAGGAAGGUCCCCCACACCGGCACUGAGACACGGACCAGACUCCUACGGGAGGCAGCAGUGAGGAAUAUUGGUCAAUGCGCGAGAGCCUGAACCAGCCAAGUCGCGUGAAGGAUGACUGCCCUAUGGGUUGUAAACUUCUUUUAUUGGGGAAUAAUGGGUGGGACGUGUCCUGCAAGUGAAUGUACCCUAUGAAUAAGCAUCGGCUAACUCCGUGCCAGCAGCCGCAGUAA